rnacentral:tRNA from 2 species
GGAAGGGUGGCCGAGUUGGUUAUGGCGCCAGGUUAAGGUCAGCUUAACAUCUGUUUCCUGGUGGGGCAACAUCUGUUUCCUGGUGGGGCAACCCGCGCGAGUUCGAGUCUCGUCCCUUUCA